rnacentral:rRNA from 1 species
UACGUAGGGGGCAAGCGUUGUCCGGAAUUAUUGGGCGUAAAGAGCGCGUAGGCGGUCCGAUAAGUCGGCUGUGAAAGUCAGGGGCUCAACCCUUGAAAGCCGGCCGAUACUGUCGGACUAGAGUCCGGAAGAGGCGAGUGGAAUUCCUGGUGUAGCGGUGAAAUGCGCAGAUAUCAGGAGGAACACCAAUGGCGAAGGCAGCUCGCUGGGACGUGACUGACGCUGAGACGCGAAAGCGUGGGGAGCAAACAGG